CUUCCAGUAGCACCUUAGAAACCAACUAAGUUUGUUAUUGGUAUGAGCUUUUGUGUGCAUGCACACUUCUUGAGAUCUUCAAGCUCAUACCAGUAACAAACUUAGUUGGUCUCUAAGGUGCUACUGGAAG